rnacentral:rRNA from 1 species
ACGAACGCUGGCGGCGUGCCUAAUACAUGCAAGUCGAACGGCUUUUCUAUGGAAGCUUGCUUCCACUGAGAAGAUAGUGGCGAACGGGUGAGUAACACGUGGGUAACCUGCCCAUAAGAGGGGGAUAACAUCCGGAAACGGGUGCUAAUACCGCAUAGUUUUCUUGAUCGCAUGAUUGAGGAAGGAAAGACGGCCUUUGUGCUGUCGCUUAUGGAUGGACCCGCGGCGUAUUAGUUAGUUGGUGAGGUAACGGCUCACCAAGACGAUGAUACGUAGCCGACCUGAGAGGGUGAUCGGCCACAUUGGGACUGAGACACGGCCCAAACUCCUACGGGAGGCAGCAGUAGGGAAUCUUCCGCAAUGGACGAAAGUCUGACGGAGCAACGCCGCGUGAGUGAAGAAAAGGUUUUCGGAUCGUAAAACUCUGUUGUCAGAGAAGAACAAGUUGGAGAGUAACUGCUCCAGCCUUGACGGUAUCUGACCAGAAAGCCACGGCUAACUACGUGCCAGCAGCCGC